rnacentral:rRNA from 1 species
GAUGAACGCUGGCGGCGUGCCUAAUACAUGCAAGUCGAGCGAACAGACGAGGAGCUUGCUCCUCUGACGUUAGCGGCGGACGGGUGAGUAACACGUGGAUAACCUACCUAUAAGACUGGGAUAACUUCGGGAAACCGGAGCUAAUACCGGAUAACAUGUUGAACCGCAUGGUUCAACAGUGAAAGACGGUCUUGCUGACACUUAUAGAUGGAUCCGCGCCGCAUUAGCUAGUUGGUAAGGUAACGGCUUACCAAGGCAACGAUGCGUAGCCGACCUGAGAGGGGGAUCGGCCACACUGAAACUGAGACGCGGUCCAGACUCCUAGGGGAGGCAGCAGUAGGGAAUCUACCGCAAUGGGCGAAAGCCUGACGGAGCAACGCCGCGUGAGUGAAGAAGGUCUUCGGAUCGUAAAACUCUGUAUUAGGGAAGAACAAAUGUGUAAGUAACUAUGCACGUCUUGACGGUACCUAAUCAGAAAGCCACGGCUAACUACGUG